UUACACUAUAGAGUAUAUGUAAAUGCAUGUGCAAUAGCAUAGGUUGUAUUUUUUUAUGUAUUCACAUAAGACAUUUUUAAGCACAUUGUCCAAUUUGCAAACUUAAUUAUUUUUAUCCUUAUGUCGGUUUGUAACUUUAUUAGUAUUUUAGCUUUCAAAAGUUUUGACCAUAUAAAGAUUAGUUUCUCUCCUUAAAUGAGGAGGUUGCAAAUUGUACAUCAUCAUAACUUUUGAAUACUAAUAUGAACUCAUUUCCCUCAUAUUCAGAUAUAGGAGAGCAAAAUUAUUUAGGUAAACAUAAAAAGUUUGAAGUAUGCACAAAGCCUGAAAGUGUCAAAUAUGGAACCUAAAAAAACCUGCCUUUGCCACUGACUGACUAAAGGUUUUUUAAGCAUCAAGUCAGGUUAUCUUGCUACUGGUACCAUGUAGCAGGUUGUAUGCCAUUCAUACGAUGUUUGGGCACCUGUUUGUAAAAUAUUGCUGCAAAUCUUUUUGAGAGAGCCAUUACUAUGGAGAACCAUCUAAACCAUACAAGUGUGGAAACAUGAAUCAGAACAUACAUGGCCCGCUUUGAUCCUGAAAAACGUUCUUUUUGGACCAAAUGCUAGCUGGAUUAAUGUGAAAUAAACUGAUGAGUUUAUUUAACUUAGCUGGUAAAAAAAAGAGUUUUCGUAAAACAAAUUUAAUGAAGACACUUAUAGAAUGAAGUUCAUUCAUUUGCUGGCAACAUUUUUAAACGUGGUCAAGAUCGAAAAAAUCUGGUGCUAGAAAUUGUCGAUGGUGGAAGUGAUAGAUGCAUCGAACCUAAUUUGUAAUUAAUUUCUGUAAAUAAAUUUCACUUU
rnacentral:lncRNA from 1 species